rnacentral:rRNA from 1 species
ACGGGUGAGUAAUACAUCGGAACGUGCCCGAUCGUGGGGGAUAACGGAGCGAAAGCUUUGCUAAUACCGCAUACGAUCUACGGAUGAAAGCAGGGGACCGCAAGCCUUGCGCGGACGGAGCGGCCGAUGGCAGAUUAGGUAGUUGGUGGGAUAAAAGCUUACCAAGCCGACGAUCUGUAGCUGGUCUGAGAGGACGACCAGCCACACUGGGACUGAGACACGGCCCAGACUCCUACGGGAGGCAGCAGUGGGGAAUUUUGGACAAUGGGCGCAAGCCUGAUCCAGCCAUGCCGCGUGCAGGAUGAAGGCCUUCGGGUUGUAAACUGCUUUUGUACGGAACGAAAAGACUCCUUCUAAUAAAGGGGGUCCAUGACGGUACCGUAAGAAUAAGCACCGGCUAACUACGUGCC